ensembl:lncRNA LOC120103476 uncharacterized LOC120103476
CGCAGGGAUCUGCUUGAUUGCUGCAGGCGAGUGUCAGGAUAACUGUAGGCCUCAGCCUUUCUAACUUGCCUGAAGAUUGUCUAGCGGAACCCGAGCCUACUUAAACACAGCUUUAGCCAAAAUAAAUGGCCCUUGAGCUGCGGGGCUUGCGAUUGAGGCGCAUCUGUGCUACCCCGACCCACGCCACCCUCCUCCUUUGUGUAAGGAGUCUGCGAUGUGGAAGGGGAACCUAAGUCGCCGUGUGCUGAGAUCUGGUCCGCAGGACGAAGAGAAGUCUGAAGUGCAUUGUGACCUGCUAAUAAUCUUUCACAGCUAACCAAGUGAUCACUGAUUAAAAAUAGCAUUGAACAUGUAUUGGGCAUCUAUUUCGGGCUUCAUUUUAUUUGGAAUGCAAAUCCUGUUGGAAGCCAAAGCGGCAUAAGCAGCAGCUGGAAAUCAACUCGGAACGUUCCAGCCAAUUCACGUCGAGCUCAGUUGGCAGAAUUAAUGCCAUUCUGCCGUCUCAGCGAAGGAGAGGUGGUUAAUUAUGCCCCACUGCCCAGCGGUUUCUAUUAUGGACACAUCUGGACUGAAAGGCUCAUUUGAAAUCUCCAAUCUCUCAGCUUCCUGGUGCCUAAAUCAAAUAGAGGAGUUGAUUUGUGAUGAGCAGAGGGGAGGGGGCGUGGGCAAACAGCUUCGCCCAUGGGGUUGGGAGAGGCUGCGAGAGUUUCAAAGGCUCUUUUAUGGCCCUAGUGCUGACUUCAUCAUCAUUGUGGACCAGUUCCUAACACACUGUGUCUGGACAGGUUGCGCUGUAAAUAAUAAAUAAAACAGUCGCAUUCAUGCCUGCACCUCAGGGUGAGGGAGUUUAGUUUCCACGGUGCCCUCUGCUACUGCAGGCUGUGAUGUUCUCAUCUCUCCUAAAGGAAGGUAGGUUGGGACCUUGUCUGCUUUGAGAAAAAGCCUUUCAAGAAAUGUCUACGCCCUGGAUCAAGACACGAAGCCUUCCGUUAUAAGAAAAACAGCCUCCAACUGACGGCUGCCUCUUGGCUUGGCACAGGAACCGUUCCAUGAAAUCUCUGUUGGAGAUGCCAUCUUUGAGAGGAAAACUUGAAAAAGAUCAUCACUCAAACCCAGGGUGGCCAUGGAAAUCCUCCAGGGCUUUAAUUUUAGAAACUGGACCAUUUUCUUCUUUCCAUUUAUAUUUUCUCUUGUACAUACUGAGGAAGUUAGGUUUUGAUGAUGUAAAAAUGUAUGAUGGUCACGUCAGAAUAAUUAGCAUUUCCCUCUCUAAAGAUGUAUCAGUCCUGUGUGUUGGGAAGCUUAAAAAAUUACUCUGUGAAACUAUGUAUCUGGCUGCCCAUUGUCCACUCUCCAUUGCUAACUAUUUCCUUUUAUGAAAUCAACUCUUAGGUCAUAAUUUUCUUUCUGUGCCUGGCUUGUUUCACCAAGUACAAGCCAGGUCACUUUCUCUUCCACUUGGACUUCAAUAGCUUGUCUCCAAUCUCCCUUCGUGCCUGCGUGUUCCUGAAAGACACCACGAGUUCCACCAGUUGGAGCCUAGAGCUGGGAGCCUGGGCCAGGCUCCGUAGAUGCAUUACAGGUCUCCUCCCUGCUGUGAGAAGCCAGGAAAGAAGCCGACUCUCAAGCAGGUGAGGGUCUGGUGACCAGGUGGGCAGCUUGAAGAUCUGUGCAUCAAUGCAGGGCCAGGAGCAGGAAUCAGAAACUCGUGGGGUAAAUGACUUACUCUGGAGCUGAAACAGGGAAUGUACGAAACAAACCGGAGAACAUCUUAUGCCUGAGAGGAAGAAAGCACACCGUGGACGAGGAAGAUACAGCAAAAGGACAGAAGCUUCAGCUUAAAAGACAUCGAAAAUAAUGAGAGUAAUGGGUUACAGUCUUUGACUAAACUCGGACUCCGUAUGUCUAUCUAUGUUAAUAUAAAUAAGUGAACGGAUUAUUGGAGGAGAAGACUAGCUCUCAUUUAUAGUACAAGGCCAACCAAUAAAAACAGAAGACGUGAUGGGACUGACACUCUUCAUGUAGCAAACAGUCUAAAGGGGGUUCAUUCUGUCAGUGAGGACUAAGGUCAGUACUUGGAAGUCUGAUAAGAAACUGUAGGUUUUUGCCUCAGACUGAGUCCCCACAAAAUUUUAAACAAAUGCAAUCGAGAAAAAUGUUCCGUUUAAGGCAGAGAGGCCCUGAAAGCAUCAGCAUGUGCCUCCGGAUGUGAGGCUCUAUGUAGAGAGCAUUUCCGUAGACUUACAGCCAAGAAUGCACAACCUCGGUCCGAUCAUAAGAAACUAAGCCCAAAUCAGAGGUCACCACGCAGAAUACACAGCUAACUGUCAAGCACAGGGAGAACAAGGAUGGACAGAGGGGCUGCAGCUGUGUGAAGAAACCUGAGGAGACACGAGAACCAAGGCACUGCCUGUUCUUGGACUGAGGCCUGGAGCGCAGAGGAGAAAGGAAUCUGGAGGAUUCUUGGUGAAAAUCAAAUACAGCUAGUGAACUGGCCAGGGCUGUUACGCCACACCGGAUAAUCAGGUCUGGAGAGCCGCAUGUUGGUGCUGAAGGAAAGAGUACUUGUCUGGAGAAAAUACAUCCUGGAAUGUGGCAGGGGACGGUUCCAUCAUGGCUCCAGCUCCCACUCAAGUGGAUGAGAAGCAAAGACCAUUCAUAGCCCAACUAGGGGGACAGCGGAUGGCAAUAAAUACACAAAACAUUAAUGAGUGGAGAGACUGGUGAGGGAGUGCUUGCAUUCCAGAAACUUCAAAAAUGAUUUCAAAAUGAAUGAAAGGGAAUCUAUUAUGUAAUAGCUAUAUACAGCUAUGUAUUUAGGCAGACACACAUCCAGGGUGGUGCAAAUUAAAACUACAUGAGAUCCUAUGACACAUCAACAAAAGAGCUAGUUAAAAUAACCGUAGUACCCCAUGUUCAAAAGGGUGUGGAGGAAGAGGAGC